rnacentral:rRNA from 1 species
AUUGAACGCUGGCGGCAGGCCUAACACAUGCAAGUCGAGCGGGGUUUUCGGACCUAGCGGCGGACGGGUGAGUAAUGCGUAGGAAGCUACCCGAUAGAGGGGGAUACCAGUUGGAAACGACUGUUAAUACCGCAUAAUGUCUACGGACCAAAGUGUGGGACCUUCGGGCCACAUGCUAUCGGAUGCGCCUACGUGGGAUUAGCUAGUUGGUGAGGUAAUGGCUCACCAAGGCGACGAUCCCUAGCUGGUUUUAGAGGAUGAUCAGCCACACUGGAACUGAGACACGGUCCAGACUCCUACGGGAGGCAGCAGUGGGGAAUAUUGGACAAUGGGCGCAAGCCUGAUCCAGCCAUGCCGCGUGUGUGAAGAAGGCCUUCGGGUUGUAAAGCACUUUCAGUUGGGAGGAAGGGUUGUGUGUUAAUAGUACACAGCCUUGACGUUACCAACAGAAGAAGCACCGGCUAACUCUGUGCCAGCCGCCGCCGUAACAC